ensembl:lncRNA
AUGCAGAGGAGACCCCGGGGUUUCCCUAGUAACAGGUGGGAGCUGACGGCGCCGGGGCUUCCCCAGCGGCUCUCCCCGCACGCCGGCGGCGGGGCCGGGGCUGCCCAGCCUGGCAAGGUCGGGGCACGCAGCCUCCUCCCCCCUACGGGGCACGCUAGGCGAGGAGCUGCCCCCGGCCCGCAGCGGGAAGGACUGAUUCAUACUAUUCUGAAUAUUUUAAAGUUGGAAAACUCCUGUGGAUCAGCAAAGUAUUUGUGCCUGAAGAUUGAAAAGCUGCGUCCUUUGCACUGUGCAGACAGCACUCAGAACAGGCCCCCACAUUAG